rnacentral:rRNA from 1 species
CGCGGUAAUACAGAGGGUGCAAGCGUUAAUCGGAAUUACUGGGCGUAAAGCGCGCGUAGGUGGUUUGUUAAGUUGAAUGUGAAAGCCCCGGGCUCAACCUGGGAACUGCAUCCAAAACUGGCAAGCUAGAGUACGGUAGAGGGUGGUGGAAUUUCCUGUGUAGCGGUGAAAUGCGUAGAUAUAGGAAGGAACACCAGUGGCGAAGGCGACCACCUGGACUGAUACUGACACUGAGGUGCGAAAGCGUGGGGAGCAAACAGGAUUAGAUAC